UACCAGCACCCCGAGUGGUUGGGACGAUUAUUGGGCCUCAAGCAUCCGUAGCCGGUUCUACAAGUCUUCCGUUAAAUCCAACUGCUUAACAGGUGGGCUGCGGAAGAUACUAUAGAGCUAGGAGGCGGGAGAGGCAAGCGGUACUCGAUGGGUAGGGGUAAAAUCCGUUGAUCCAUUGAAGACCACCAGUGGCGAAGGCGGCUUGCCAGAACGCGCUCGACGGUGAGGGAUGAAAGCUGGGGGAGCAAACCGG
rnacentral:rRNA from 1 species